rnacentral:rRNA from 1 species
UACGUAGGGGGCAAGCGUUGUCCGGAUUUAUUGGGCGUAAAGAGCGUGUAGGCGGCCAGGUAGGUCGGUUGUGAAAACUGGAGGCUCAACCUUCAGAGGUCGACCGAAACCAUCUGGCUAGAGUCCGGGAGAGGAGAGUGGAAUUCCUGGUGUAGCGGUGAAAUGCGCAGAUAUCAGGAAGAACACCCGUGGCGAAGGCGGUUCUCUGGGACGGUACUGACGCUGAGACGCGAAAGCGUGGGGAGCGAACAGG